UUCAAUCUUAUAUGAUAUCUGAUUACUUUGUGAGUUUGCUUUCAACUCUCAUUGUUCUCCAAAGACUCGUCUGACUUAUCAAGUAACCCUUGUGGCGUCAACCCGUCUUUCUUUUCCGAACUUAUCAUUUUGCACCCAAAGUGUGGCGUUCAAAUUAUACCGAGGUUCCUAUCAUCUUUGAUAGCGGGUCGAGGUUCCAUUUUAUUCGUUUUCCAUCCAUACAAAUAUACCUAAGUAUUCAUAUAAGUCCCGGGUUACCACACUUAUAUUGUGUUGGUUCAACUUGAAUACUUUAUUUUCGUUCACAUAUCAACCUCAAUUCAUUCCAUAACCUCUUUUGAACUAAAUUUGAGCAUUUAUCUCUUCUUUCUUAACCUAUCUUCGACAAACCUUGAUAUUACUCUAAUUCACGAUCGGGCACAUCAACGACUCGGUUUAAUCAACGAGGCCGGGGCAUAUCAUUAUGUGGUCGUUAUCGACAACUAUGUGGUGGCUUGUCCACAAAUGGUGUUUUAUUGUAUGGUUGGG
rnacentral:lncRNA from 1 species